AAAUUUGGAUUAAUAUCUUAUGUGAUAUGUGACUGGCAUCGGUUACAUAUUAAAGGUUACGGUAAGAGAUGAGCAUGCGUCUCAUUAGUUAGUUGGUAAGGUAACGGCUUACCAAGACUUCGAUGAGUAGGGGUCCUGAGAGGGAGAUCCCCCACACUGGUACUGAGACACGGACCAGACUCCUACGGGAGGCAGCAGUGAGGAAUAUUGGACAAUGGACGGAAGUCUGAUCCAGCCAUGCCGCGUGUAGGAAGACUGCCCUAUGGGUUGUAAACUACUUUUAUACAGGAAGAAUAAGAUCUACGUGUAGAUUGAUGACGGUACUGUAAGAAUAAGGACCGGCUAACUCCGUGCCAGCAGCCGCGGUAAUACGGAGGGUCCGAGCGUUAUCCGGAAUUAUUGGGUUUAAAGGGUCCGUAGGCGGGCUGUUAAGUCAGAGGUGAAAUGCUGCGGCUCAACCGUAUGCACUGCCUUUGAUACUGGCGGUCUUGAGUUAUAGUGAAGUGGCUAGAAUAAGUAGUGUAGCGGUGAAAUGCAUAGAUAUUACUUAGAAUACCGAUUGCGAAGGCAGGUCACUAACUAUACACUGACGCUGAUGGACGAAAGCGUGGGUAGCGAACAGGAUUAGAUACCCUGGUAGUCCACGCCGUAAACGAUGGAUACUAGCUGUUCGGUUUUCGGACUGAGCGGCCAAGCGAAAG
rnacentral:rRNA from 1 species